GAUGAACGCUGGCGGCGUGCCUAAUACAUGCAAGUCGAGCGAACAGACGAGGAGCUUGCUCCUCUGACGUUAGCGGCGGACGGGUGAGUAACACGUGGAUAACCUACCUAUAAGACUGGGAUAACUUCGGGAAACCGGAGCUAAUACCGGAUAAUAUAUUGAACCGCAUGGUUCAAUAGUGAAAGACGGUUUUGCUGUCACUUAUAGAUGGAUCCGCGCCGCAUUAGCUAGUUGGUAAGGUAACGGCCUACCAAGGCAACGAUGCGUAGCCGACCUGAGGGGCUGAUCGGCCACACUGGAACUGAGACGCGGUCCAGACUCCUACGGGAGGCAGCAGUAGGGAAUCUUACGCAAUGGGCGGAAGCUUGACGGAGCAACGCCGCGUGAGUGAUGAAGGUCUUCGGAUCGUAAAACUCGGUUAUGAGUGAAGAACAAAUGUGUAAGUAACUAUGCACGUCUUGACGGUACCUAAUAAGAAAGCCACGGCUAACUACGUG
rnacentral:rRNA from 1 species